CGUUUAGCACCACAGCUAUUCAUGACUGGACUUGGACCAAGACUGGGCGUAGAAAAAUCAUUGUAGCCUUGGAAGCAGAGUCUGUGACUGUGAGCUGGGGGAUUAAUGUGAUGGGCUUGGGGGUGAGCUCUUUGUCUCAGCUUCAUCAAUGGCGAAGUGUCCAUUUAAACAUCUAGGUGUUGAUGCGAUGUGUGAUUUUCCAAGGCAUUUGGCUUUUAUGUCCUCAUUUCAGAGAGAACCAUCUGUGGAUGGCUAUCUGGAGCCCCACAGCAGUGGAAUGAUGGGAAAGUCCUUUCAAAUUACAAGGAAGAUUAGCUCCCAUCAUCCACACAGACUUCAAGAAACUCAGAUGGUGUCCUGAGGAUCCCCUGUAGCUCACCCCAAACCUAAUCUUUCUAAGAAGUUCUAGUUCUUUUCUAAAACAGCAUUUUAUGAAGUCCAGCCCCUGAGUUGCAGAGUAGUCAGUGACCAAACAAGCCUGUCUUAGGAGAGUGACAGUCUUUCAACUCCAGGACAGCCGCAAAACAGACUCCCUUUUAUUUAGGACAAUGUAUUAUUAAUGCAGCAAAGUGUUUUACCUUUCUCCAAAGAGACAAUCUGGAGGGAUGGAGGGAUGGAUAAAAUAUCCUUAUCCAUCACCCGAGCUUGUUAGAGUGUUAAAUUCUACUUUCAAACUUCUUCAAACUCUAAUCCUUAAAUCAUUCUCUCCACCCCACUAGCAGCCCUCCCACCAUUCUGGCUGCACCAGCUCUUUCUCCAGAAUUAUUCCCACCUGAGGGCCACCAGGGCCUCCCAAGGCUCCCAUUAUCCCACUGCCUCCCCGCACAUCGGGGUCUGCCACUCCCUGACGCAUUUGCUGCCUAAGCGGUCAUGUUUUGCCCAACACGUCUCAGAGCCAGUGUUGUUCUGGUUACAAUGAGGUUUUUAUUCCCCCUAAUUUAUGGGAUUAGAUAUUCAGCCAAGGCAGACUUCUCAAACAUUGAAGUCAUACCAUCUCACACAGCUUUAAACUUUUUUUUUAAAUGGCAAAUGGGGUUCAAGAGCUUUCUGAGAGGAGCUAGACUGGCCUGGAUGAGGGAUGUAGAAUAAUAAGCACAGAGCUGGAGAUAUUCGGCAACAGAAUGGUAGGACUCAGUAGGGACAACACUGGGAAAUCUGCAGAGUUGCAGCAGCUCGGAGCCUGCCACACAUGGAAGGAAAUAUGACGCUCCCCAGCAAUAUGUGCUCCCCUGGAAGAAGAGCUGAUGACUACCCAAAGGCGGGGCAGACAACUUGGCUUUUCUUCCUGUUGGUUUAUUCUUUGUUCUGAUGUGGCUGAUGGCAUUUUUAUGAGUCAAAAAAGCUUGAUGGUUGGGGAUGAACUGGUAUUAUGGUAUCACAAUAAACUCUGAAUCGCAAAAACUUCCUGAUGUGUUUGCUCAACUGUGAUUCUAAAAGAGCUUUGUAUCCUCUGAAAAGAGGCUCAGUACCUUCACACACUGCAGUUAGGAAGACUAACUGAGAU
rnacentral:lncRNA from 1 species